rnacentral:rRNA from 1 species
AGAGUUUGAUCCUGGCUCAGGAUGAACGCUGGCGGCGUGCCUAACACAUGCAAGUCGAGCAUCUUCUUCGGAAGAGAGCGGCGGACGGGUGAGUAACGCGUGGGUAACCUGCCCUGUACAACGGAUAACAUACCGAAAGGUAUGCUAAUACGAGAUAACAUACUUUUAUCGCAUGGUAGAGUAUCAAAGCUCCGGCGGUACAGGAUGGACCCGCGUCUGAUUAGCUAGUUGGUAAGGUAAGGCUUACCAAGGCGACGAUCAGUAGCCGACCUGAGAGGGUGAUCGGCCACAUUGGAACUGGACACGGUCCAAACUCCUACGGGAGGCAGCAGUGGGGAAUAUUGCACAAUGGGCGAAAGCUGAUGCAGCAACGCCGCGUGAGCGAUGAAGGCCUUCGGGUCGUAAAGCUCUGUCCUCAAGAAGAUAAUGACGGUACUUGAGGAGGAAGCCCCGGCUAACUACGUGCCAGCAGCCGCGGUAUACGUAGGGGGCUAGCGUUAUCCGGAAUUACUGGGCGUAAAGGGUGCGUAGGUGGUUUCUAAGUCAGAGGUGAAAGGCUACGGCUCAACCGUAGUAAGCCUUUGAAACUGGGAAACUUGAUGCAGGAGAGGAGAGUGGAAUUCCUAGUGUAGCGGUGAAAUGCGUAGAUAUUAGGAGGAAACCAGUGGCGAAGGCGGCUUGCUGGACGACAACUGACGCUGAGGCGCGAAAGCGUGGGGACAAACAGGAUUAGAUACCCUGGUAGUCCACGCUGUAAACGAUGAAUACUAUGUGUGGGAGACUGACCCCUUCCGUGCCGCAGUUAACACAAUAAGUAUUCCACCUGGGGAGUACGGCCGCAAGCUGAACUCAAAGGAUUUGACGGGGGCCCGC